GAGUCCUCAUGAUAUCGAGGACUGGGCUUGAACUGGCUCUAAGGACACUGCUCCUUGGACAACUGGUGGUCUGAGGCGUCC
rnacentral:snoRNA from 1 species